ensembl:lncRNA novel transcript
GGGCAACCCGCGCGGGUCCCUUUCCACUCUGUGGAAGCUUUGUUCUUUUGCUUUUUGCAAUAAACCUUGCUACUGCUCACUUUUUGGGUUAACACUGCUUUUAUGAGUUGUAACACUCACCGCAAAGGUCUGCAGCUUCACUCCUGAGCCAGCUCUGAGACCGUGAACCCACCAGAAAGAAGAAACUCCGAACACAUCCGAACAUCAGAAGGAAUAAACUCCAGACGCGCCACCUUAAGAGCUGUAACACUCACCGCGAGGAUCCGCGGCUUCAUUCUUGAAGUCAGUGAGACCAAGAACCCACCAAUUCCAGAGACACUACUGUGUGGGUUUCUGUGGACAGCAGUUCUGCCAAACUGUUUUCCAGUGUGGCUGUACCAUUUUGCAUUCCCGCCAGCAAUGAAACGAAGUUUCUAAUGCUUCACCUUGUCACCAGUAUUUGAUAUUAUCAGUGUCCUGGCUACUCAAAUAGGAAAAGCUUAAGGGAAAGAUUUUUCUGUGAGCUGGUGCUGAUGUUGUAUGUUCCAGCAGAUCUUCAAAGAAAUAAUAUCCUACAUCACAUUGCUUCAAAAACCAGGAACUGCCACACUGUGUUCUGCCGCUUGUAAGUAAUUAAGAAACAUUUAAAAGGCUUUAUAUUCAAGACUGAGUUAGACUGUCUGCAAAAUGAAAGAAUGGAAAUAAAGAUUAAGAAUAUGUUAGUCCUGGCAAAAGAAGAGAAUUAACGGAUUAGCCAAGGAAUCUAAAGUGUUUCCAUUAUUGCUCUGCCACUUACUGGAUGUAAUCUUAGGCAAGUUAUUUAGUAUCUCUGUGUCUUAGUUUGUCAGCUGUAAAAUGGUGUUAAUAAUAAAAAUAAUAGUAUCUACUUCAAGUUGUUGUCAGGCAAAGGAGUGUUAAUAUAGAACAAGACAUCUAUUUUUAUGCCUAGAAAGAUUCCUAUGUCUGGUUUUUUUUGAAGUAAUAAAUAAAAUUAUUUUCUUAUUUAGAAAAAAACACAUCAGCUGUAAAAAAUAUGGAAGAUAAAGAAAAUAACAAAUAAUAAAAUUUAAUCAUGCUGAAUACCAAAA